GUGCAGCAGGCGCGAAAACUCUGCAAUAAGCGAAAGCUUGACAGGGUUAUUCUGAGUGAUUUCCGCUAAGGAAAUCUUUUGGCACCUCUAAAAAUGGUGCAGAAUAAGGGGUGGGCAAGCCUGGUGUCAGCCGCCGCGGUAAUACCAGCACCCCGAGUGGUCGGGACGAUUAUUGGGCCUAAAGCAUCCGUAGCCGGUUCUACAAGUCUUCCGUUAAAUCCACCUGCUUAACAGAUGGGCUGCGGAGGAUACUAUAGAGCUAGGAGGCGGGAGAGGCAAGCGGUACUUAGUGGGUAGGGGUAAAAUCCGUUGAUCCAUUGAAGACCACCAGUGGCGAAGGCGGCUUGCCAGAACGCACUCGACGGUGAGGGAUGAAAGCUGGGGGAGCAAACCGGAUUAGAUACCCGCGUAGUCC
rnacentral:rRNA from 1 species